AGCCUUUUGAAUUAAUAUAAAAGGUGAAACCUGCCCAGUGACUUACGAGUUAAACGGCCGCGGUACCCUGACCGUGCUAAGGUAGCAUAUAAUUUGCCCUUUAAUUGGGGGCUAGAAUGAAAGGAUAAACGAAAGCAUAACUGUCUCUAUAACACUAAAUCAAAUUUACCUUUAGGUGAAAAGGCCUAAAUAUAAUAAAAAGACAAAAAGACCCCAUAGAGCUUCAUUAUAAACAAAUAAAUAAAAAAUAACUUAUAUUUUAUUUUAUCACUUAAAUAAUUUAACUGGGGCGGUUUAAGAGCAAAUACCCUCUUAUUUAUUUUUCGGUAUACACACCUAAAUAUGAUCCUCAAUUGAUUAAAGAAACAAGCUACCUUGGGGAUAACAGGCUAAUAUCUUUUAAGAGUACAUAUCGAAAAAGAAGUUUGGCACCUCGAUGUUGGCUUAGAGGACCCUAAAGGUAGCAGAAGCUUUAAGGCAGGU
rnacentral:rRNA from 1 species